CACGGACCCAGGCCCUAUGGGGCGCAGCAGGCGAGAAACCUUAGCAAUGUGCGAAAGCACGACUAGGUUAAUCCGAGUGAUUUCUGUUGAAGAAAUCUUUUGUCAGUCGUAAAACCACAGACGAACAAGGGGUGGGCAAGUCUGGUGUCAGCCGCCGCGGUAAUACCAGCACCUCGAGUGGUCAGGAGGUUUAUUGGGCCUAAAGCAUCCGUAGCCGGCUUUGCAAGUCUCCGGUUAAAUCCAGCUGCUCAACAGAUGGGCUGCCGGAGAUACUACAAAGCUAGGGAGCGGGAGAGGCAGACGGUAUUCUGUGGGUAGGGGUAAAAUCCACUGAUCCAUAGAGGACCACCAGUGGCGAAGGCGGUCUGCCAGAACGCGUUCGACGGUGAGGGAUGAAAGCUGGGGGAGCAAACCGGAUUAGAUACCCGGGUAGUCCCAGCUGUAAACGAUGCAAACUCGGUGAUGCAUUGGCUUAUGGCCAAUGCAGUGCCGCAGGGAAGCCGUUAAGUUUGCCGCCUGGGAAGUACGGACGCAAGUCUGAAACUUAAAGGAAUUGGCGGGGGAGCACCACAAGGGGUGAAGCCUGCGGUUCAAUUGGAGUCAACGCCGGA
rnacentral:rRNA from 1 species